rnacentral:miRNA from 1 species
GUUCCCUGCAAACACUUCACG